AACUCAGUUAGUGCUGCCCUGCUACUGACUUUUUCUUUUCUUGUUUCUUUCUCUUCUUCUUUUCCUUAAAUGUAGGCAACCUUCCUUAUAAUGAAUGUCUCUGUGCCCAGUCAUCCCUUCGUUGCAGCAUCAGGAAAAAACCAGAUAGAUGUUACCAUUUGCCUAGGUGGCUGAGAAGCAAUUUCAAGCAACGAGGAAGUUCUGGCCCGGUAGCGUUCAUCACUUCGUUUCUAGUAGAAAAAUUAGUCAUGAUGUCAGACUUCUGGAUCGUUUGAAAAGGCUUACCAUAAUAACACCAAUGCAAUAUAUACCUC